GGAUUGUUCACCCACCAAUAGGGAACGUGAGCUGGGUUUAGACCGUCAUGAGACAGGUUAGUUUUACCCUACUGAUGGCCGUGUCGCAAUAGUAAUUCAACUUAGUACGAGAGGAGCCGUUGAUUCGCACAAUUGGUCAUCGCGCUUGGUUGAAAAGUCGGUGGCGCGAAGCUAUGUCGCUAGAUUAUGACUGAACGCCUCUAAGUUAGAAUCCAGGCUAGAAGUGACGCACGCGCCCAUCGCCCGAUUGCCGACCCUCAGUAGGGGCCUUUGCCCCCAAGGGCACGUGUCAUAGGUGCAGCGACUGCGGCAGACAAGUCGCGGGCGCCUCCUUGGAGCGUAAUUCCCACCGAGCGGCGGGUAGAAUCCUUUACAGACUACUUAAAUACGUGACGGGGUAUUGUAAGUGGCAGACUGGCCUUGCUGGCACGAUCCACUGAGAUUCAGCCCUUUGUCGCUUCGAUUCGU
rnacentral:ncRNA from 1 species